UAACGCGUGAGGAACCUGCCUUCCAGAGGGGGACAGCAGUUGGAAACGACUGCUAAUACCGCAUGAUACGUUGGAGCCGCAUGACUCCGACGUCAAAGAUUUAUCGCUGGAAGAUGGCCUCGCGUCUGAUUAGCUGGUUGGCGGGGUAACGGCCCACCAAGGCGACGAUCAGUAGCCGGACUGAGAGGUUGGCCGGCCACAUUGGGACUGAGACACGGCCCAGACUCCUACGGGAGGCAGCAG
rnacentral:rRNA from 1 species